rnacentral:lncRNA from 1 species
CUAAAUUUAGAUCCUAUUCGGAUCACCCGUCCGAGCUAAAUCCGUCAAAGCACACAUUCUUCAAGAUGCUAGAUCACUAUAGGAUCACCCAUCCGGGCUAGAUCCUUUAUACCAUUAUUUCAUUUUCGAGUAAUCCAUCAGACAGCCUUUUUUAUUCAACCGGGACAUUUCAUCAUAACAUUAAUAAUUCAUGAGUUGUCAUACAAUAAAUAUUACUAUUAUAAUUCAUACAUGUACAUACAUCUUUAAUGUAUUUAAAAAUAGUUUACAUUCGAGUUACACAAACUUACUUGGUAAUUGCUUAGGUUUCGUAUUACAGUUAUUCCGAAACCUUUCGUUUUCCACGAUCGAUCUUCGAAAUCGGUUCCUCAGGGUCUAUAUCAGUAAAAAUAAAUUAUUAAUACCUCAUGCUAUUUAUUUUGAACCUAAAAUUCACCCUAGGCAAAAUGACUAUUUUGCCCCUAACAUUUAAAAAUUUUACAACUUAGUCAUUUUGCAUACAUGAACCCUAACUUAAAAUAUGGGUAGAAAUGAAGAAAACAUGUUUUAAAGAUCUCAAAAAUACAAAGAACAUUAAAAACGGGGCUAGAAGUCACUUAACUAUUGAGCUUGGAAAGUGAAGAAACCCUAGCUAUGGUGUCCCUUGGAGAGAAGAAUGGCUGAUUUUUUCCUUCAUUUCCCCUUUUUAUUGAUUUUAUUAUCAAAUGACCAAAAUGUCCUUCCUUACUAAACUUCCAAAAUUUUUCAUGCAUGCCCUUUUUUUUUUCCAAAAAUUUAGAAAUUGAGUAAAUUACUCUUUAUGACCUUCUAAUUAAUAAUCUAAAGCAAUUUCAUGGAAAUUGCUUUUAAAAUCCAAGUUUUGCAAUUUAUUCAAUUUGGUCCCUAAUUUUCAAUUGGACACCUUACACUAAGAAUUUCUUCAUGAAACUUUAACACAUGCUUACUUUCAUAUUCUGGGCCUCAUAAUAAUUAUAAAAUAAA